AAGUUCACAAAGAACAACCCUAAUUUCUACCCUUUUCUCCCAAUCUCACCAAGAACAAGACACUCAAUGAUUUACACUCACCAAGGUGUUUACAAUGUUUCCCAACCCAAGAGAAGCUCUAAUCAAAGACCAUAAACCCUAGAGUUACUCCCUUUGAUUUCCCAAGUUUCUCUCUCUUCCAACUCUCUUCAAAAUCUGCACAAGAACACUUAAAUACUAGCCUUCCACUGAUAAAAUCGUGUCACGAUUUCCAGAUCGUGUCACGAUUGGUGCGUACGUCCC
rnacentral:lncRNA from 1 species